CUCCCAUGCAAAACUCUAAACUUUAUUCACCUUUAUUUAUAUAUUUAACAAUUCUAAAGUAUUUACUUCUUGCUUUGACAAAAAUGAAAAAUAUAGGAGCACUUUACUCCUCCUUAAGAGAGAAGGGUUAUAUAUACAGCUAUGGAGAGAUAUCAAUUCCCCCUUUACAUACAAAGAAAAAUAAUAUUAAUAAAAAAGUGCUUCAUUGAUCAAAAAGGACUAAGAGCUGCAAGCAUUUAUUCACACUAUAUAUCACAUACCCAAAAAACCCGUAUUAUAACCUCUUGGCACCUGUCAUUAGGAACUGCAGAGUCUAACUUAUUCCUGACUCCGCACCACCAAAUGACACAAUGUUAAUGUGUAGAACUACACCAUGUCCACUAAGGUCAAGCUUCUAACCACCAGCCUCAAAGGAAAAGCCAGAGAGAUAGGAGCUGUAUAUUACCCUGGUUUCUGUUCCAACCUUCUCAGCUGUACCAGGAACUGUAACUGCUGUAGCAGUUCUAGUCAGGAUUUUUACUGCAUUUUCACAGGAAUAAUUCAUUUUUGAUAAAACUCGAAUUGGAGACCCUAGAUUUUUCUUUGCUUUUCCACUGCUGAUGAUUUCCAAGUGUUUCAAAACAUGUACCAGGGAGGAGCCAAAGAGCAUUGUCACUAGACAUCCUGCCUGCUAAGCACAUCUAUGCUAAAAGCAGCAUCUUGGAACAUUCAUCUUUUAAAUCUUCAGCUUACAUUACAGCGGUGUGGAAAGUUCAGACAUCAAGAAAAAAAUAUCUUGAGAAGUCUUUCCCCUAAGGUUCUACCAGGUGUUCAGAGAUGCUUCUCUCUUUAUGAAGUUCACUCUAGGAGUUGUCAUUUUGAUGUUCUACUGAAGGCAAGUACCCCUGUAGCCCAAGACCCAUUAUAAUUCCUUGCACCUUUGUACUCAAAAACUUUUACAUACUCCAGGGGAAUUUGUUCUACUUGAACAUGUCAGAAGUAGAAGCUGUCACAGCUUCCCCUAGACAAUAUAUUAUACAUUAUAAAGUACUUUUCUUCCUUCUCCAAACUGCAUUAAGCAUACUGUAUCAAAAGGAAAAAGGUACGUGUGGGUACCAACUGUUCUCAUUAAGAAAUAGAUAUUCAAAAGACUCACAAUUUAAUGAGGUGAUUUAAAAAAUUGCUUUCAAUUAGGGGGGGAAAUCCAUGAUUUGUUUUGGUUCUUGAUUAGAUGCUUGAUCAGGAUUAUCAUGACUAGAGUAUACAGAUCACAGAAUGAAAAGGAGGAAACGUGCCACAGACAUGACAAGCAUCAAUCUACUUAUUUUCACUGACUGGCAGCCUCAGGCCAAUGAAAUUUUACUCAGCAGGAUAUCACAGUUGCUUUGAAAUCUCUCAUUAAAGUGUGAGUUUGAUCAUCAGUGUGACAUUCAGUGUACAUUUGAAUGCACCACAGCGAGUGCCCGAUCAAUGAACCAGCUCUGCAUUCUGGAGCAACUAUUCUAAAAAAAUGGGACAAGGGUAGUAGUUUAAAGGUCUCCUCAUUUCCCCAACAUGGCUUUCUUUAUGAUCAGUUACAUUUACAGAAUGUUACAUCAGUGUAAAACCAGUCCUGAACAGGAAGCCAUUCAGUGCCCUUCCCUUUCACUUCCCUAAAACAAGCACACACUUUCCUUAGCCAAAGGUAGCCAGGCGUUUCCACUCAAAGCCACAGCCGGCUUGGCUAACGGCAAUAAAACACAUGGAUUACAUAUGUAAAUACAGAGCCGCUGAGUAUGGUAAUGGGUGACUGGUUCCCUUUCAUGCCGUGAGGCUAACUAAACCCGCUCUAAGAACAGAGGGAGAGUGCUCGCUUGGGAAAGAGAGCCCCAUUUUUUCCUAGCAGCAACAGGUUCCCAAACAGCAGUUUCUUGUUUGGAAGUAAUAGGAGUGACUGAAAGCACUAGCACUGACACUACAGGUAUUCCCACUCAGCCUCUGGACUGAUUCCCCUCCUCUCCUUUCCUCCAUAAAAUUGAGACGUCUGUCUGCAGCAGGGUUCAAUAGUGGCGCACCUAGAAGCAUGAGGGAGACCUGGUCCUGGCCCCAGCCCCUUUCCCACUUCCCAAGUCUUCCAGAAAAAC